ensembl:lncRNA
CGCCUCCAAGGCUCUGCAGCGACAUGAAAUACCAGCAGACCCUCCGCCGCCCAGUGUCCGGUACCGGCCGUCCAGACCCGCUCCCAGCCCCCCAGACCCGCUCCCAGCCCUCCGCGGAUCACGGUGCCUUCAGAACGGGUCUGAGCCUCACGACCGCCCACCGACAGCGGCCUCAACCGCUGUGUCGUCCCGGUGCUGACCGGGAUUGUUGAGCUGAGUGUGCGGAGUUCAGUCAGACCGAGUCCGCCUUAGGACGGGAAACAGAGACACCGCGUACGGGACGGGACGGGACGGCAACUUUACCGGAACCGGAGAGCGGGAUCUCCGUGUGUGUGUGUGUGUUUUUGCGUCUGUGUUUUUGCGUGUGUGUGCGUCUGUGUUUGAGUCCUCGCCAUGUCUCCGUGUUUUCCAACCGUUGAGAAACAGGACGUCCGUUCUCAUUCAACCUGUUGCCGGUGUCCCAGUCACUGACGCCGGGAGUCCUCCGCGUCCGGUAGCGAUUAGAGAACCGAGAGCCAUGUCGACCACCGGCCGUCGGCCCGGGAUGGCGGCGCCCCGGGGGGCCGUGCUGACGGUGCUGUUCACGGUGGCGGUGGUGCACCUCAGCGUGGGAUUCUGUAGAUCGUUGAGUUCUAAUGGAUUGAAACGAGACGGGGGUUCACGGGAGAUGGCCCGGGACUCAAGGCAGCCCGGGGAGUCCAGCGCCACGGACCCGUCCGGGGAGACGCCGUUCAGCGGGUCAGCCGACCCCUCGGAGCCCCUCCCCUUCGUCCGUACAGGUGUGUGUUUGUGUAUAUGUAUAUGUAUAUUUGUGUGUUUUGUGUGUGUCUGUGUGUCUGUGUGUAUAUAUGUGUGUGUAUG